rnacentral:snRNA from 1 species
GGAUGUGAGGGCGAUCUGGCUGCGACAUCUGUCACCCCAUUGAUCGCCAGGGUUGAUUUCGGCUGAUCUGGCUGGCUAGGCGGGUGUCCCCCUCCUCCCUCACCGAUCCAUGUGCGUCCCUCCCGAAGCUGCGUGCUCGAAGAGGACAACCUUCGGUGUUACUUCAAGUUUCUUAG